UUUAAUUUUGUGCUGGCGGGUUUUCCUUGUCUCUUGCCUGGCUCGCUCUUGCCGCUGCUGCCGCUGCUCGCUUUUCACUUCACAUCGAGCCCAGCAGCCAGCGAGAAAAGAGAGAGAGAGUGAGCAAGAAAGGAGAGUGAGGGAGAGUGAGAGAGAGAGAGAGAGAGAGAGUGUGAAUGGGAUUUUGACAUAUUGGGUCUUCUCAUUCCAGAGGGAUGGGUUCUCACCGACGCCGACGCGGACACCGACGACGACGACGCGCGGGCGAGCCAGAGCGGAGAUUGUUAGCGUGUGAUAGACAAUGUUGGUGCUGCUGCUGCCUGCAAUCCAUCUACAAUCUAUCCAAUUCUCUCUUCGUCCUUGAGAAAUCUAGGCAGAAAUCUGGGCAGGAGGGAGGAAUGAAUGAUCCAAAAACCUGAGCUCUUUUCAGCGAUGGCGUGGGGCCUGGAAACAAAUACGUUUAGAUUCUUCUCGUUGUGUGUGUGUGUGUUUUUGUUCGCGGGAGCUUCCUUUAGUUCAACUCAGGUGGAGCUGGAGAUGGUCCUGCUGCCGACUCAUGCAUCCGCGUACCUUGGAAAGUUACAAUGCCAGUUUCAGAAAGAGAGCUUCUUUUGUCCAGUGGUAGACGCUUGCAUGAUGCGGGAGCUGGUUCUCUCUCGAGCUUUGAUCGACCUGCCUUGGACUGAAGGGAGCUCCCUUGUUCCCACAAAACACUCCACUCGCGCGAAAGUGACUUGGACACCCAAAGCAGCCUCUGCUGAUUUCCUUCCGGCUGAGUGUUCCUCAGGAUUUUGCGAGAGAUGAUAAUAUCUUAGGCUAUAUAUCUUCAGAGAGAAAUAAUAAAUAUGUUACACCAGUACUUGCAAA